UACGUAGGGGGCAAGCGUUGUCCGGAAUCAUUGGGCGUAAAGCGCGUGUAGGCGGCUCAGUAAGUCUGUUCUGAAAGUCCAAGGCUCAACCUUGGGAUGCGGAUGGAUACUGCUGGGCUCGAGUCCGGAAGAGGCGAGUGGAAUUCCUGGUGUAGCGGUGAAAUGCGCAGAUAUCAGGAAGAACACCAAUGGCGAAGGCAGCUCUCUGGGACGGUAUUGACGCUGAGACGCGAAAAGCGUGGGGAGCAAACAGG
rnacentral:rRNA from 1 species